ACCUCUUAUAUUUUCCUCAUACACCCACGUGAACGAUGAGACAAACCUUCCAUUCUCUAAAACCCUACCGCCGCCGUCACCCAUCCUUUCACCACUUUCCGACCACCACAACUCUUAACUGCAAGCGAGCAACGUUUUUGUACUCCUCAUCACCUCUUCUCCUUUCCUUUUCUGCUCUGUGACUCCAUUUUCUUUUCAAUCAGUGUUGAAAUGGAGCUGUUUGAAACGGAACCACCGUGCCGGUUUCCCUCAGGCCACCGUGAGCUUCAUCUCCUCCAAGGAUUCGAAUAGUGCAUGAUGAAAUCUCCCCAGGUGUUGGAUUUGGUAAUGAAUCACUUAACUAGACCAAUUCCUACAGAGAUUGGAAAUCGCUCGAGCAUUGUGGAAUAAAUGUGAAAUGUGCCUUGAACUGAAGGUAUGCAUUGAAUUUUCUAUUACUUAAUACCUUUACUUCUGAGUUCUGACAUGGUUUUCUAUUGCUUACUGGUUUUUUAUGACCUGAACAGCGCAAAAUCUAUCUCUCUUUUUGUUCAUCCCCUGUUUAGAAUUUGUUUGAAUAGUAAUUAGUUUACAACUUCCUUCAUAGUAAACAUUUAAAGUUUCUCAUAAAUCGUUCUGAACUGUGAAUGGUAAAACAUAUGAUGUAAUGUAAUGUUUACUAUUGACCAAGGAAUGUAUAGAACUUUCAUCUUUAGCUAUUAUAACUGUACAAGGUCUUCAUUUGUCAAUUAGCGAUGUUAAUUUUGGUUUUUGCAUUGCAGGAAGGAGUAUCGAAGUACUCAACUGAAAAACAGAAUAUCCAUCGUGUGUGUAAUAAAACUCGUAGUUUGACUAUGCAGUAAGAACAUGGUACAUUAAUUAAAAAAUGAAAACUCUUUAUGCUGCACUAAGUCUCACAUUAUAUAUCUACCACAUCAUGCCAAAAACCUUGAAACCAUGAAUAUAACUAAAAAAAGAGUUGGCUUAUGUUUCAUUUUUCCCAACUUGGUUUUUGCAUUUGCUUGUGGGAGUGUUAGCAAGGAGUGGAACUGUAGUUUUAUUCACGACAGUUAAUUCAGAUAAUAAUUGUGUGCAUUAUUAGUAUUGUUAUUACAAAGCUACGGAAUAUGGUUCUCACAUACUAAGAGGUUAAUUUUGGUAAUAGGAUUUGACAUCAGAAUUUGGAACUUGUGAUCCCCUAUGUUCAGUUGAUGAAACUAGUUCGCUAGAUUUCGAAGACAACUAUCAGCCCAAGACUGAUUUGCUCAAAGUAGUUGCGAUAUUUGCGGCGGCUGCAACUGGGACGACAGUUACUUUUUUAACGUAUCUGUUGAAAAGCUAUGCUGAUUAUAUAAGGCCACAUGAAGAAAGUAUAUGUAAAAGCAUUGUGAAUUUGCUUGUAACAUGUACUGACUCUGUCCUUAUCACAAGUAUGUCUUCUCUUCAUCUCAUUUUAGAUUUAUCUGCCGCUUUUAGUGAUUUCUUGCAGAAGUACUAGGUGUUGGAUUUUAUUUCAAUAUUCACUGCUUUUUAGUAAUUUAUAUUUUUAGAGAGAAUAAGAAUCCAAUUUUUUGAGCCUACAUGGAUUUCGAAGUUGAGGAAUUCUAUGUUUCUGUCCAUUUUUAAUGCUUGUGAGAUGGAUAUGAUGCUUGUUACCCAUAUUGGCAUUAUUUUGAGCAUGCAUAUUCAAUUUGUUUUAUGCUGCAAAGUUUCCAUGGAUCUUUGAUUGAUCCAUCAUUGUUUAUUUCAUUCUCCUCAACCACAAGUGCAGCUUUGUUUAAACACCUCUAAGCUAUAACAAACAAAAAAAAGUUUUUUAUGUUGAUAGAUUUACUUGUAUUCAGUUUGGUGCAAUCAAUAAAAAUCAAUGUUUAAAUCCAUCAUUAAUUAGUUUGACUUUUGAUACUAUG